AUACCUAGACAGGGUUUACGACUGAUCAAGAAGGGUCGUGGCCUAGAUCAACGGCUCACAUUGCACUUGGCGAGCAUGUUGGUCUAUCAUCUGCCCAAUUGGGAGAAU
rnacentral:rRNA from 1 species